ACCGACGUCAAACAUAUGAAAAAGAUCAAAAGAAAUAAAAGAAAAGUGAAGCUCCGAUCGAAUCAAGUAGACCGACUGUCAACAAAAGAGCUUCAUCUCAACGAUGGAGUCUAAAGUCGAAUAACUAUGGUAGGUAUGACUCCUACACUCCUCUCUCUGCUCUCCAUGCGCAAAUCCUGAUGGAGAUCGAAGGAGAUGAGUACAUAUGACACCUCCCACCAAUGAAAAUAUCAUCGAUGAGCCG
rnacentral:lncRNA from 1 species